GUCUAUGGCCAUACCACCCUGAUCCGGGAAGCUAAGUAGGGUCAGGCCUGGCCAUUACUUGGAUGGGAGACCACUUGAGAUUACAAGAUGCGGUAGUUU
rnacentral:rRNA from 1 species